GCCGUGGUGGUGGAAUUGGUAGACACGCUAUCUUGAGGGGUAGUGCUCUAGGGUGUGCGGGUUCGAGUCCCGCCCACGGCACCA
rnacentral:tRNA from 2 species